AACCUUGAAAUACCACCCUUUAAUGUUUGAUGUUCUAACGUUGGCCCCUGACCGGGGUUGCGGACAGUGUCUGGUGGGGAGUUUGACUGGGGCGGUCUCCUCCCAAAGCGUAACGGAGGAGCACGAAGGUUAGCUAAUCCUGGUCGGACAUCAGGAGGUUAGUGCAAUGGCAUAAGCUAGCUUGACUGCGAGCGUGACGGCGCGAGCAGGUGCGAAAGCAGGUCAUAGUGAUCCGGUGGUUCUGAAUGGAAGGGCCAUCGCUCAACGGAUAAAAGGUACUCCGGGGAUAACAGGCUGAUACCGCCCAAGAGUUCAUAUCGACGGCGGUGUUUGGCACCUCGAUGUCGGCUCAUCACAUCCUGGGGCUGAAGUAGGUC
rnacentral:rRNA from 1 species